rnacentral:tRNA from 1 species
GGGGUUGUGGUCCAACCUGGCUAAGAUAACGGUCUCCAAAACCGUCGAUGGGGGUUCAAAUCCCUCCAACCCCACCA